GCGAAGCGGUGACGUGGAGCGAAUCCCAAAAAUAACGUCCCAGUUCGGAUUGUAGUCUGCAACCCGACUACAUGAAGCUGGAAUCGCUAGUAAUCGCGGAUCAGAAUGCCGCGGUGAAUACGUUCCCGGGUCUUGUACACACCGCCCGUCACACCAUGGGAGUCGGGGGCGCCUGAAGUCCGGGACCGCGAGGACCGGCCUAGGGCGAAACUGGUAACUGGGGCUAAGUCGUAACAAGGUACC
rnacentral:rRNA from 1 species